rnacentral:rRNA from 1 species
AUUGAACGCUGGCGGCAGGCCUAACACAUGCAAGUCGGACGGUAGCACAGAGAGCUUGCUCUUGGGUGACGAGUGGCGGACGGGUGAGUAAUGUCUGGGGAUCUGCCCGAUAGAGGGGGAUAACCACUGGAAACGGUGGCUAAUACCGCAUAACGUCGCAAGACCAAAGAGGGGGACCUUCGGGCCUCUCACUAUCGGAUGAACCCAGAUGGGAUUAGCUAGUAGGCGGGGUAAUGGCCCACCUAGGCGACGAUCCCUAGCUGGUCUGAGAGGAUGACCAGCCACACUGGAACUGAGACACGGUCCAGACUCCUACGGGAGGCAGCAGUGGGGAAUAUUGCACAAUGGGCGCAAGCCUGAUGCAGCCAUGCCGCGUGAAUGAAGAAGGCCUUCGGGUUGUAAAGUACUUUCAGCGGGGAGGAAGGCGGUGAGGUUAAUAACCUCGCCGAUUGACGUUACCCGCAGAAGAAGCACCGGCUAACUCCGUGCCAGCAGCCGCCGUAA